rnacentral:rRNA from 1 species
GAUGAACGCUAGCGGCAGGCCUAAUACAUGCAAGCUGAACGGUAAAUGUUAUAGCAAUACGAUAUGAGAGUAGCGUAAGGGUGCGUAACACGUAUGCAAUCUGCCCGCAACAGGAGGAUAGCUCCCCGAAAGGGGAAUUAAUACUCCAUAAUAUCACGAGAGGGCAUCUGAUUGUGAUUAAACUCCAAGGGGUUGCGGAUGAGCAUGCGUCUGAUUAGUUAGUUGGUGAGGUAACGGCUAACCAAGACGAUGAUCAGUAGGGGAACUGAGAGGUUGAUCCCCCACACUGGCACUGAGAUACGGGCCAGACUCCUACGGGAGGCAGCAGUAGGGAAUAUUGGUCAAUGGGUAAGAGCCUGAACCAGCCAUGCCGCGUGCAGGAAGACGGCCUUCUGGGUUGUAAACUGCUUUUGUCAGGGGAUAAAAUACCCGUGCGCGGGGAAUUGAAGGUACCUGAUGAAUAAGCCACGGCUAACUACGUGCCAGCCGCCGCCGUAAAAC